AUACGUAGGGAGCAAGCGUUGUCCGGAUUUACUGGGUGUAAAGGGCGUGUAGGCGGAGUGAUAAGUUAGAUGUGAAAUCUGGGGGCUCAACCCUCAAACUGCAUUUAAAACUGGCAGACUUGAGUCUCGGAGAGGUAAGCGGAAUUCCUAGUGUAGCGGUGAAAUGCGUAGAGAUUAGGAAGAACACCGGUGGCGAAGGCGGCUUACUGGACGAGUACUGACGCUCAGGUACGAAAGCGUGGGGAGC
rnacentral:rRNA from 1 species